UUAUGGUUGUAAAGCACUUUACCCGAGGAGGAGGCUACUGAGACUAAUACUCUUGGAUAGUGGACGUUACUCGCAGAAUAAGCACCGGCUAACUCUGUGCCAGCAGCCGCGGUAAUACAGAGGGUGCGAGCGUUAAUCGGAUUUACUGGGCGUAAAGCGUGCGUAGGCGGCUUUUUAAGUCGGAUGUGAAAUCCCCGAUCUUAACUUGGGAAUUGCAUUCGAUACUGGGAAGCUAGAGUAUGGGAGAGGAUGGUAGA
rnacentral:rRNA from 1 species